GGAGUGCUCGAAAGAGAACCGGCGCACAGGUGCUGCAUGGCUGUCGUCGCUCGUGUCGUGAGAUGUUGGGUUAAGUCCCGCAACGAGCCACCCUUGUCCUUAGUUGCUACGCAAGAGCACUCUAAGGAGACUGCCGGUGACAAACCGGAGGAAGGUGGGGAUGACUCAAGUCCUCAUGGCCCUUAUGGGUAGGGCUUCACACGUCAUACAAUGGUCGGAACAGAGGGUUGCCAACCCGCGAGGGGGAGCUAAUCCCAGAAAGACGUAGUCCGGAUUGCACUCUGCAACUCGAGUGCAUGAAGCUGGAAUCGCUAGUAAUCGCGGAUCAGCAUCGGGGAAUACGUUCCCGGGUCUUGUACACACCGCCCUCAACAGUGGGAGUGGGUUUUACCAGAAGUGGCUAGUCUAACCGCAAGAGACGUCA
rnacentral:rRNA from 1 species